UAUAUCUCUACAUCUCCAUAUCUCUAUAUCUAUCUAUUUUUUUCUCUUCUCUCUGCCUCUAAAAACCCUCCAUCGUCAUUCCUAUCUCAUAGUCACCGACUUCGAUUUGAUCCCACUUCUCUCCAUUGCAGAUUAGCGAUAAGGGUUUUAGGGUUUUGAUUUGGGUCGAGCAAUUGGUGAUAGGGAUUGUAAGGUUUUGAUUUGGGUGUUCUUUCUUCAAUGGAGUGAAGAUUGGUUUUUUAGAUUUGAUUUUGGUGAAUGGCGAAGAGAGAGAAACCCUAAAGGGCGUCACCAAUGCGACUCUGUCCUCGUCUCACAAGGGCGUGUCACCACCAGCCAACUCGAUGAAUUGGCCACUGAAACUGCUGCCGCCAUGACUGCUAACCAUCCCAACUAUGCUUCUAAUAGCAAACCUGCAUUUGAGCAAGAUCAGUGCUGACAAUGAAAUCGUCUGCACCCAACUGGUGUUUAGCCUCGUCUUCUUUAGAUGGGGAGGUGCUGAUGACAGUGACAUGGUGACCAAAGGCCUUGCCGAAUUUGACAGCAAUAUGUCCGCGCCCUCCGAGUCCGAUCACUCCGAGCUUUUUGGGAGGGGAGUCAAGCUCAAGCAUGUUGUUCUUCAAUGGGCAGAACACAGUUACACCAGCACACAACAAAGGUGCUGCUGCAUCCAUUGGUAGGUUUUCUGGCACAUGCACCACAUAUCUGUCCACCCAAUCCAAUUACAGUCACAACCAACCACAUUUAAUUUGAAUCACACCAAGAGAACUUCAAGCUAGUGUCAAUGUUUUACUCUGCUAUAUACACGGAAUUAAAUUAUGGAAAAUUACUGAAAUAUUUAAUGUGUGGAAUGUCCAUGAGACCCACAAUAACAAAUAUUACAGAUAUAUUUAUUUUGUUUGAUUCUGUAGCUGUACUACCACUUAAAUUUGUGGAUAGAUGCCUUUGUUGGAAACACUCAUAAUUGUUGAAUUAUGUUUCAAUUUUUGUUUUUACAUAAAUAUAAUAAGAGCAAUGAUAUAUAACUCUAAUUCAAGAGCUCUAAAUAGAGCUCUAGUGAGUUGGCAAGUCAAAAGAAGAUGAAAGACACCAAUGAAAAGUAAUAAUAAUUACACAUGAGCUAGUGUCACAUAAUUAGAACUCUUAUUUUAGAGCUUCCAAAUAUUUUUUUAUGUAAUAAUUGUAUAUUCUUUUAGAAAAGAGGGUGUUGAGAUAUUUGGAGAAUAAAAUAAGGGUUUUGAUACAGACCCUACAAAACUCAACCCACAUGACCCUUACGCACGUGUGUGAGAGAGAGGGAAAAAUAAAAUAAAAUAAAAAAAUACAUACAUAUAUACAUGCCUUGUCCACAUCAAUUGGGAGUCCUGGAGUCACCAAUUUUGGAAGUCUCAAGCAUUAAUCAUAAAAUAAUAU